rnacentral:misc_RNA from 1 species
UCAGUUAUGCGUCAAGGCUUGUAUCGCCCGAAGCGUAUUGUGGGUUUUCUGUAUUGCAUACCUAAUUGACGGUAUUGUUUGGAUCGAUUGAAGUCCCUUUUCGUCUUGUGUUGCAUUUUGUGAUGAAUGAUGAACCUUGAAGCGGUCUCUAUGAUCCAUCAUGUUGAUGCGCAUGCAUUGAUCAUGUGGCCCAUUGAGCUUUGCUUUGUUUCUUGGAUACGGAAAAUGAUGUGGGCAUGGGGGUCUGUCAUGAUCUUUGUUUUGCCCUCGUUUGGUGUUCUCUAUAACGACAGUUCAUGCGCGCCUAGGCUCGUACCUGUGUGAUGUUCUAUGUCGAAGAGGAAUGCUACCUGGUUGAUCCUGCCAGUA